CACUGGGCGUCGCGUCGGACGCGCGCGGUAAAAGAAUAUUAUGACAUUAUCGUUUGCGUCGUUGCGCGCGCGCGCGAUUUUCGAAUUCGCAAUUCGGGGGGUUUUUUUUUUCUGGUUGUUUUUUUUUCGUUUAUAAUUUUUUUAUUUCGUCGUUUGUUCCGUCUCCGGUCGCCCGCGUUCGGCAUUUUCGUCGGUUUCGUCCGCG